AUUGAACGCUGGCGGAAUGCUUUACACAUGCAAGUCGAACGGCAGCACGGACUUCGGUCUGGUGGCGAGUGGCGAACGGGUGAGUAAUACAUCGGAACGUGCCCAGUCGUGGGGGAUAACGUAGCGAAAGCUACGCUAAUACCGCAUACGAUCUAAGGAUGAAAGGGGGGGAUCGCAAGACCUCGCGCGAUUGGAGCGGCCGAUGGCAGAUUAGGUAGUUGGUGGGGUAAAGGCUCACCAAGCCGACGAUCUGUAGCUGGUCUGAGAGGACGACCAGCCACACUGGGACUGAGACACGGCCCAGACUCCUACGGGAGGCAGCAGUGGGGAAUUUUGGACAAUGGGCGCAAGCCUGAUCCAGCCAUUCCGCGUGCAGGAUGAAGGCCCUCGGGUUGUAAACUGCUUUUGUACGGAACGAAAAGGCUCUGGUUAAUACCCGGGGCUCAUGACGGUACCGUAAGAAUAAGCACCGGCUAACUACGUGCCAGCCGCCGCGGUAAUAC
rnacentral:rRNA from 1 species